GUGUGUGUGCGCGCGCGCGCGCGCGCUCGAGUGUGUGCAUCUUUGAGGCGCUGGCAGCAGCUGUCUUGCACGAGACCCCACAUCCUCUGAUCUCACUCUCUCUGCUUCAUGUUCUACCCAGGGAAAUGUCUGAUGGAGUUUGCAAGAGUCAACUGCUGUUCUGCUCCCAAGCUCAGGAACAUUGUGACUGGUGCCAGGACAGGCCCAUGAAAUGAACAAAGGGACAAAGACAACAGAAGGAUAAAUGACAGCAACAGAGUCAAGGGGGGCCAAAACUCGGAUGGAUGCAGGGUCACUGACUUCAGCAACUAGGAUCUCAUGUAGCCCAGGUUGGACUCAAAUUCUAUAAGUAGCUGAGAAAGACCUUGACCUCUUCUGAUCCUUCUGCCUCCAUGUCCUGAGUGCUGAGAUAUUGAGAUAUAGAGAAUGCCAGGUGCGUCCUGUCUUCCCAGUCUCUACAUGGCGUCUCUCAGUGGUCUCUCUCCACCUACCUUUCCCAGAGUUCUCCUCAUCUCCUGCCUCUACUGGCCAAACAGCGUUUUAUUCAUCAACCAAUAAAAGAAACAUAUAUACAGAAGGAUGUCCCCCAUCACAGGGACUCUGGGCCAACCAAGACCCAGAGGUGGCAGCGGCAUCCGUGAAUCAUGAAGAGGGCCACAGCCAAUUGCUGUGAGCUGGAGAGGACAGGGGCAUGUCUGCAGGAUUAUCCUGCCCCGGGGCUGCUGAACUUCCACCCACUUGUCUACUUCAGCUGGGUUUUGUGCCUCUGCAAAGCCCUCUCACUCCUCCUCCAUGUAAUCACAGGGCUAUGUGUCCCCAUCGUAGAACUUGUCACCCUGCACUGUAACUCUGCUCAGCUCCCAUCUUCACCACUGUAGUACAAGUUCAGUGCAUACUGAUUUUCUCUAAUUCCCCCAGUUGUAGGGCUGGCUCUAGCUCAGGAGGCAAGUGGGGGUGGCACUCAGUCCAGUGGAAGACUCAGCCAGGUGUGGGGAGGCUGGGAAGUCAUUUAGGACAGGGAGCUUUUCUACAGAGAAAAGAGAAGAUGGGUAUCUUUCAGUUUCCUUUGCUUGUUUGUGUGUAUCGGUCACCCUCCCCAUGUGAAAGUCUGGGGCCACUUUCUGCUAGGUGAUCUUGAGAUCUUGCUAUGUGACAUGUGCAUGCCUCAAAAUCAGCACACCAUGCAAAACUACACACCGAAACCCACAGGGCGUACUAUUAUUAUACUCAACAAACUAAGAACAUAAAGAAAUUACAUCAAUGCAAUCAAAGCCAUUUACACAGCUAACAUCAUGGCCAAUGAUGGAAGAUGGAAGCCUUUCUCCUAAGAUCAGAGCAAGGCAAGGUUGCCUGGCCUGCUCUCACUUCAAUUCAAUUCAAUUACAAAACAUCGAGUAAUGCUGAUUUUAAAACCUUCAAGCGAUUUAAACACACACUUCUCCAAAGACAAUACACAAAUAGUCAACACACAUAUGAAAAGAUAAUUACCAUCCUUAAUCUUUAAAGAGAAAUGCACAGCAGACCAUAAAGAGACAUCAUCUUACACCCCUCCAGAUUCUACCAUUACAAAAAAAAAGAAAGAAAAAAGAAAAAAGAAAAGAAAAGAAAUAAAGAAAAGAAAAGAAAAGAAAAUAACCAGUGUGGCAAGGAAGGUGGGGAAUUGGAACUCUUGCUCGGUGGGAUUGAAAAACAGUGCAAUUGCUCUGGAAAACAGUUUGGCGGCUCCUUAAAAUAUUCAACAUACAAUUGCCAUAUAACCCACUAAUCCCACUACUGGGUAUAUACGCCGAAGAAUUCAAGUGGUGUCUGCAGGAGAUGUUUACAAGUUCGAAUUCAGUGCAGCAUAGCUCCCAGCAGCCAGGAGAUGGAAGCCACCCAAGUGUCUGUCAGUAGAAGAACAGAUAAGCAGAAUGCAAUGUAUACAAGUCUUUGAGCUGCUGUCAAGAAAUGACCAAUGCUUGGUAUUUACAAAGAACAGAAACUUAGGCUGGGUGUGGUGACACAUGGCAGUAAAGCCCGGCACUCUCGGGAGGUGGAGGUGAGAGGAUUACGGAUUUGAGGCUAGCCUGGGCUGCAUAGUAAGACCCACACCCACUCACACACCCUAACCAAAUCAAACCAAACAGCAACAAGAAAGCACUUCAGAAAUUAAUUUUUCUCUGUUCUGGAACCUGGGAGUCCAAAUAAUAAAGUCCCUGACAGAGUCAGUGUC